rnacentral:rRNA from 1 species
CCUACGGGAGGCAGCAGUGGGGAAUAUUGCACAAUGGGGGAAACCCUGAUGCAGCGACGCCGCGUGAGUGAAGAAGUAUUUCGGUAUGUAAAGCUCUAUCAGCAGGGAAGAACAAAGACGGUACCUGACUAAGAAGCCUCGGCCAACUACGUGCCAGCAGCCGCGGUAAUACGUAGGGGGCAAGCGUUAUUCGGAUUUACUGGGUAGAAAGGGAGCGGAGGUGGCGCGGCAAGUCUGAAGUGAAAGGCAGGGGCUUAACCCCUGAACUGCUUGGGAAACUGCCAUGCUAGAGUGCAGGAGAGGAGAGUGGAAUUCCUGGUGUAGCGGUGAAAUGCGUAGAUAUAAGGAGGAACACCAGUGGCGAAGGCGGCUUACUGGACAGUAACUGACGUUGAGGCUCGAAAGCGUGGGGAGCAAACAGGAUUAGAUACCCCAGUAGUC